rnacentral:rRNA from 1 species
AUUGAACGCUGGCGGCAUGCUUUACACAUGCAAGUCGAACGGCAGCGGGGAGGAGCUUGCUUCUCUGCCGGCGAGUGGCGAACGGGUGAGUAAUACAUCGGAACGUGUCGAGAAGAGGGGGAUAACCACCCGAAAGGGUGGCUAAUACCGCAUAAAUUCUGAGGAAGAAAGCUGGGGACCUAGGAAUAGGCCUAGCGCUUUUUGAGCGGCCGAUGUCGGAUUAGCUAGUUGGUGAGGUAAAGGCUCACCAAGGCGAAGAUCUGUAGCGGGUCUGAGAGGAUGAUCCGACACACUGGGACUGAGACACGGCCCAGACUCCGACGGGAGGCAGCAGUGGGGAAUCUUGGACAAUGGGGGCAACCCUGAUCCAGCCAUGCCGCGUGUAUGAAGAAGGCCUUAGGGUUGUAAAGUACUUUUGUUAGGGAAGAAAAGUCAGCUGUGAAUAAUGGCUGAUACUGACGGUACCUAAAGAAUAAGCACCGGCUAACUACGUG